rnacentral:lncRNA from 1 species
CUACUGAUUCAUAUUCUUGCCCAAACUUGAUAGCUUUAACUGCUUCUAGGCGACAUUUUGACGUUUGUAUUAUUAAAAAGAAAAAAGAACAAGGUAGAAAGAAACCUCACUUGCUUUGCCACAAGUUAAAUUUCAAUGGCUCAUACAAUAGCAUAUGUGCAAUUUCACAAUUAUGUAGUACUGAAUCUUAUUAUGUUUGUGGCAGUUGUUUUUAUGUGGCAAUUUGGUUAGGCUCUAAUACACAAUUUUCUAAUCAAUCAUUAAUCUACUUGUUUCUAGGAAGGUAUUUUGUAAAUGUAAUUAACAUCUAUAAACAGUUGACUUUAAGUUAAGGAGAUUACCCUUGAUAAUAGUGUGGCUUUCAUCCAGUCACUUGAAUGGGUUAAAAAAAUGGGUUUCAUAGAGAAGAAAUUCUAUCCCAAGACUGUAACAUCAAACCCAGCCUAAGGUUCCAAUCUGUCUGCCCACCUGCCCUACAAAUUGGAUUUCUCUGUCCCUUUCUCUCUUCCCCCACCAACACAGAUUUAAUUAUUUUCUAUUCAACAGAAGAACAAACUUUGGAGCAUUAUUAAUACAGGUGAGAGAAAAAUAUGUUGCACAGGGAAAAAACAAGUGUCCAAAUUCAAACACAGAAUUUAUAACGUAUUUCUCAGUCUCUGCCAUAGUUGUUUUGUUUCCCAUUUACUGUCACCUGAAUAACAAGAAUAAAGAUCAAUCUUUCUGAAGUAUGAAGAAUUUAAAGAAAGUCAUAUGAACCUCAAAAUAUAGAAAUGUACAUUUUAACUUUUCUAUGCUUGAAUAAAUGUCUUCAUUGCUAAGAACAUGCAAGCAAUUCUUUCAUUUUUAUUUCACUAAAAUUUUAAACCAUAGAUCAAAUAUAUUUUCUGUUAAAAAAUCCAAAAACAUGAGGACUGAUGGUAACUUGAAUAACUCUUAAAAGUCAUAGCAAGAUUUACAUCUUAUCAAUACUAUUUUUUCCAAAUAAAUAUUCUGCCGUUGUAUAGCUACCCCACAGAAACUGUAGAGACUCCCAUCCCAAAUUUGAUUUGAAUGUAAAAAACAAUGGUACCACACACCAUCUCAAGGGAGAUGGAAUUUAUCACUCACAUUAAAAAGCUUUCCAGAGAGAACAAGGAGCCUCCUGAGAGCAUCUAAAACCUGGCUUGAGAGAACAGAGAAAGGAGACAGACAUGUCUCUUUUAUGGUGGGUAAGAAGUGUGUCCAGAGUGUGGUUUACAUUGUGUGAUUUGAACUUCUAAGCUAAUGCUAAACAAGGGAGCAUUUGAGUUUUUUUAUGAGCUUUUCCAGAUCUGGACUAGAAGGGGAAGAGAGAGGGAUGAGGCUUUAAAGCUCUCAAUAAUCAAACAUUAAAAAAGAGUAGAAAUUAAUAAAGAGUUAUACUCUUUAUUACAUAUACAUUAUUGAAAGUAGGCAUAGGGUGAAGCCACUGUAAUUUAUUUCAAAGGGAUUUUAACUAUUAAUAUACCUUGUAGUACUUCAUCUACUUUGGAGUAAUUGCAGUAGUAAAAAGAGAAGAAAAUCCUUACUUAUCAAGUUUUUGGGGAUUUUUCUGAAUCUAUGAUGCAUAUGUUUAUCAUUAAUAAGCUAUUCACAUUCUCAAGCAUGGUAUAAAAGGGUAAAAUUUUUACUAUUUGUUUCUUUAGAUAAAAUGGUAAUUUGUAUUACUGGAAAGGCAGUUGAGUAAAUAACUUGAAACAGUGCCUGAGAGAAACAUCUAUAAAUGCAGUCAUUUAACACAAAAUAAUAUUUUGAGUUCAGAGAAGAAUUAUAAAGAGGGAAAAUUCUUCCUCAUUGACUGAAGCCGUUUAGGGUGAUAAGUCGGGAAGUCAAUGAUGGACUUUUCUGUAGUAGGAAAUUGGGAAAAAAAUGCUGACCUUUGAAACCUAGAGGCUUGGAAGUUAAUGCCCACUUAAGGCCAAGACUUUGGAUCUUUUUGAUAAGUUUCCACUUCAAGUUGUACAUAAAUGUGUAGCAUUGAAGUAGUUGACAAAUCAAAGGAAACUAUGGCCUAGGAAUAAAUGUUUUAAAAGUAGCAUGAUGGUAUAAAGUUCCAAACUCUUUGCUUUCCAUAGUCUCUGCUUAGAGGAAAACAAAACAAAAAUAAAACAAAGCAAGACAAAAAGCCCCCACACAAUUAAGAACUUAGAACAUAGAUUUUUGCCUGUCUUGUGUUUGAUAUCCUAAGUUAUACUACUUACCUGGUCUAGUAACUACCAAGAUGAGAAAUUAACACAAAAUUUAUCUGGAGUUGAUUGUUUCUGAAAAUGCCUGGUAUAAGCAAAUGGUAAGUCACUCUGAAUAUAUAAGCCCUCAACCUGUUAUCUUAGGGAUACCUCCAGAAUAAAUUUGUCUAAAUAUUGUCUCACAAUUCAAAAUGCAAGAACAAGUGAUAUAGAGAAAAUAGAAUAUAGUGGCUGAGGGCCCAUGACCCCACAAAGAGAAAUAACAUGGUAAGUUAUUAUAAUAAAAUAAUUUGAAACAAUAACAAACACUUUGGAAUUAGAAUUUAAUAUUCAAUUUGAGUAGCAUAAUUAGACAUAGGUGAAGAGAGUAUCAGUGAAUUAGAAAAAAUUAAUUCUAGGAAAUGACAUACCACUCAGUAUAGCAAAAUUAAGAUAUGGAAAAUAUAGGGGAUAUUAAGGGUAGAAGUAGAUGGUAUAAAUAUAUUUAAUAGUAGAAAUUUCAGAAUGAAAAUUUUAAGAAAAUGAGAGUAUUAAGUGAAUAAGCAUUUCCUAAAAAUUGAUUUAAAAUGGCCUAAGCAGUAUAAAUUAAACCCACAUCUAAAUAUUGUAAUGAGACUGCAGAAGAACAAAGAGGAUAGCAAAAGAGCAAGUAGUAAAUAACAGUGAAUAAUAUAGUAAGAGUGAUGGUAAGAAUGACAGCAAUCUUCUGAAAGGCAAUAAUUGUGGCAGAGGCCAAUGAAAACUUUUCAGAAUCUGAAAAGUACUUGCCAAAGAUAUUCGCAUUCAUAGAUAUUUAAAAUUUUUAAAAAAUAAUGAAAUAAAGUUUUUUUUAAAAAAAUCAAAUUCUGGGAGAUUUUGCACCUGACACUCAGUGAAAAAACUGUGAAAGAAUAUACUUCAGAAUUAUAAAAAAUGAAUUCUGAAGAAAGGAUAAAGGAUUCAAGAUAUUUUGGUGAGGAAAUUUAAUAAAGACCCAAGUCAAUACAAACAGGUGAUGGAAAUUUAAAACAAUACAAUUAAAAGUUAAUGUUUCUAAAUCAAAGAGAACUGGAAAUCAAUCUUAAAUGAGCAUAACAUAUUCAGUGAUUUAAAAAAAAUUUAAAAGUCAAUGACUAGGAUAGCUCAUACAAUAUUGCUUUCAGAGUUCCCUUAUGGUACAGCAGGUUAAGUAUCUAGUGUUUUCACUGCAGUAGCUUGGUUUGCUGCUAUGGCACUAAUUCUAUCUCUGGCUCUG